GGGUUGUGAGGUUAAGCGACUAAGCGUACACGGUGGAUGCCCUGGCAGUCAGAGGCGAUGAAGGACGUGCUAAUCUGCGAUAAGCGUCGGUGAGGUGAUAUGAACCGUUAUAACCGGCGAUUUCCGAAUGGGGAAACCCAGUGUGUUUCGACACACUAUCAUUAACUGAAUCCAUAGGUUAAUGAGGCGAACCGGGGGAACUGAAACAUCUAAGUACCCCGAGGAAAAGAAAUCAACCGAGAUUCCCCCAGUAGCGGCGAGCGAACGGGGAGGAGCCCAGAGCCUGAAUCAGUGUGUGUGUUAGUGGAAGCGUCUGGAAAGGCGCGCGAUACAGGGUGACAGCCCCGUACACAAAAAUGCACAUACUGUGAGCUCGAUGAGUAGGGCGGGACACGUGGUAUCCUGUCUGAAUAUGGGGGGACCAUCCUCCAAGGCUAAAUACUCCUGACUGACCGAUAGUGAACCAGUACCGUGAGGGAAAGGCGAAAAGAACCCCGGCGAGGGGAGUGAAAAAGAACCUGAAACCGUGUACGUACAAGCAGUGGGAGCCUCUUAAUGGGGUGACUGCGUACCUUUUGUAUAAUGGGUCAGCGACUUAUAUUCUGUAGCAAGGUUAACCGAAUAGGGGAGCCGAAGGGAAACCGAGUCUUAACUGGGCGUUAAGUUGCAGGGUAUAGACCCGAAACCCGGUGAUCUAGCCAUGGGCAGGUUGAAGGUUGGGUAACACUAACUGGAGGACCGAACCGACUAAUGUUGAAAAAUUAGCGGAUGACUUGUGGCUGGGGGUGAAAGGCCAAUCAAACCGGGAGAUAGCUGGUUCUCCCCGAAAGCUAUUUAGGUAGCGCCUCGUGAAUUCAUCUCCGGGGGUAGAGCACUGUUUCGGCAAG
rnacentral:rRNA from 1 species